GAUGAAGAACGCAGUGAAAUGCGAUAAGUAAUGUGAAUUGCAGAAUUCAGUGAAUCAUCGAAUCUUUGAACGCACAUUGCGCCCCUUGGUAUUCCGAGGGGCAUGCCUGUUCGAGCGUCAUUAUAACCCCUCAAGCUCAGCUUGGUGUUGGGGCCUGCUGCACUGGCAGCCCUUAAAAUCAGUGGCGGCGCCAUCUGGCUCUAAGCGUAGUAAUUCUUCUCGCUAUGGAGUCCUGGUGGAUGCUUGCCAUCAACCCCCAAUUUUUCUAUGGUUGACCUCGGAUCAGGUAGGGAUACCCGCUGAACUUAAGCGUAUCAAUAAGCGGAGGA
rnacentral:misc_RNA from 1 species